UGGGGAAUUUUGGACAAUGGGCGAAAGCCUGAUCCAGCAAUGCCGCGUGUGUGAAGAAGGCCUUCGGGUUGUAAAGCACUUUUGUCCGGAAAGAAAUCCUUGGCUCUAAUACAGUCGGGGGAUGACGGUACCGGAAGAAUAAGCACCGGCUAACUACGUGCCAGCAGCCGCGGUAAUACGUAGGGUGCAAGCGUUAAUCGGAAUUACUGGGCGUAAAGCGUGCGCAGGCGGUUUGCUAAGACCGAUGUGAAAUCCCCGGGCUCAACCUGGGAACUGCAUUGGUGACUGGCAGGCUAGAGUAUGGCAGAGGGGGGUAGAAUUCCACGUGUAGCAGUGAAAUGCGUAGAGAUGUGGAGGAAUACCGAUGGCGAAGGCAGCCCCCUGGGCCAAUACUGACGCUCAUGCACGAAAAGCGUGGGGGAGCAAAACAGGAUUAGAUACCCCUGGUAGUCCACGCCCUAAACGAUGUCAACUAGUUGUUGGGGAUUCAUUUCCUUAGUAACGUAGCUAACGCGUGAAGUUGACCGCCUGGGGGAGUACGGUCGCAAGAUUAAAACUCAAAUGAAUUGACGGGGUCAUAGCUG
rnacentral:rRNA from 1 species